rnacentral:rRNA from 1 species
CUUGACCUCGGAUCAGGUAGGGAUACCCGCUGAACUUAAGCAUAUCAAUAAGCGGAGGAAAAGAAACCAACAGGGAUUGCCCUAGUAACGGCGAGUGAAGCGGCAACAGCUCAAAUUUGAAAUCUGGCGUCUUCGGCGUCCGAGUUGUAAUUUGCAGAGGGCGCUUUGGCAUUGGCAGCGGUCCAAGUUCCUUGGAACAGGACGUCACAGAGGGUGAGAAUCCCGUACGUGGUCGCUAGCCUUUACCGUGUAAAGCCCCUUCGACGAGUCGAGUUGUUUGGGAAUGCAGCUCUAAAUGGGAGGUAAAUUUCUUCUAAAGCUAAAUACUGGCCAGAGACCGAUAGCGCACAAGUAGAGUGAUCGAAAGAUGAAAAGCACUUUGGAAAGAGAGUUAAAAAGCACGUGAAAUUGUUGAAAGGGAAGCGCUUGCAGCCAGACUUGCCUGUAGUUGCUCAUCCGGGUUUUUACCCGGUGCACUCUUCUAUAGGCAGGCCAGCAUCAGUUUGGGCGGUUGGAUAAAGGUCUCUGUCAUGUACCUCUCUUCGGGGAGAACUUAUAGGGGAGACGACAUGCAACCAGCCUGGACUGAGGUCCGCGCAUCUGCUAGGAUGCUGGCGUAAUGGCUGUAAGCGGCCCGUCUUGAAACACGGACCAAGGAGUCUAACAUCUAUGCGAGUGUUUGGGUGUCAAGCCCGAGCGCGUAAUGAAAGUGAACGGAGGUGGGAACCUUUCGGGGUGCACCAUCGACCGAUCCUGAUGUCUUCGGAUGGAUUUGAGUAAGAGCAUAGCUGUUGGGACCCGAAAGAUGGUGAACUAUGCUUGAAUAGGGUGAAGCCAGAGGAAACUCUGGUGGAGGCUCGCAGCGGUUCUGACGUGCAAAUCGAUCGUCAAAUUUGGGCAUAGGGGCGAAAGACUAAUCGAACUAUCUAGUAGCUGGUUCCUGCCGAA